rnacentral:misc_RNA from 1 species
AAGUCGUAACAAGGUAACCGUAGGUGAACCUGCGGUUGGAUCAUUAGUAAAUUUCUUUACUAGUUGCGCUUUCACUAGCGCAUACACCUUAUGUGAACUGUUAUUGUCUUUGGCGGGUUGUGUGCUUGCUGUGUUUAGCUUUCCCUAAGCUAUCACCAAGUCGUCCACUUUUCUUAAGUGGCCAGCCCGUCGGUCGUUUGCCUUUUCAUAGGUAUUCGGCACUAUGAACUCUAUAGUUUAUUGUUUUGUCUGAUACUUGUCUGCGUAAGCAGCAUCUUGUUUCUUAAUUGAAAACAACUUUUGGCAACGGAUCUCUUGGCUCUU